rnacentral:rRNA from 1 species
AUUGAACGCUGGCGGAAUGCUUUACACAUGCAAGUCGAACGGUAGAGGGGGCAACCCCUCGAGAGUGGCGAACGGGUGAGUAAUAUAUCGGAACGUGCCCAGUCGGGGGGGAUAACGUAGCGAAAGUUACGCUAAUACCGCAUACGAUCUAAGGAUGAAAGCGGGGGAUCGCAAGACCUCGCGCGAUUGGAGCGGCCGAUAUCAGAUUAGGUAGUUGGUGGGGUAAAGGCUCACCAAGCCAACGAUCUGUAGCUGGUCUGAGAGGACGACCAGCCACACUGGAACUGAGACACGGCCCAGACUCCUACGGGAGGCAGCAGUGGGGAAUUUUGGACAAUGGACGCAAGUCUGAUCCAGCCAUUCCGCGUGCAGGAUGAAGGCCCUCGGGUUGUAAACUGCUUUUGUACGGAACGAAAAGGUCUCUCUUAAUACGGGGGACUCAUGACGGUACCGUAAGAAUAAGCACCGGCUAACUACGUGCCAGCCGCCGCGGUAAUAC